AGUGAACGCUGGCGGUAGGCCUAACACAUGCAAGUCGAACGGCAGCACAGGAGAGCUUGCUCUCUGGGUGGCGAGCGGCGGACGGGUGAGGAAUACAUCGGAAUCUACUCUGUCGUGGGGGAUAACGUAGGGAAACUUACGCUAAUACCGCAUACGACCUACGGGUGAAAGCAGGGGAUCUUCGGACCUUGCGCGAUUGAAUGAGCCGAUGUCGGAUUAGCUAGUUGUCGGGGUAAAGGCCCACCAAGGCGACGAUCCGUAGCUGGUCUGAGAGGCUGAUCAGCCACACUGGAACUGGGACACGGUCCAGACUCCUACGGGAGGCAGCAGUGGGGAAUAUUGGACAAUGGGCGCAAGCCUGAUCCAGCCAUACCGCGUGGGUGAAGAAGGCCUUCGGGUUGUAAAGCCCUUUUGUUGGGAAAGAAAUCCAGCUGGCUAAUACCCGGUUGGGAUGACGGUACCCAAAGAAUAAGCACCGGCUAACUUCGUGCCAGCCGCCGCUGUAA
rnacentral:rRNA from 1 species